rnacentral:rRNA from 1 species
GACAGAGGGUGCAAACGUUGUUCGGAAUUACUGGGCGUAAAGCGCGCGUAGGUGGCCUCAUAAGUCCGUUGUGAAAGUCAAAGGCUCAACCUUUGAAAGCCGGUGGAUACUGUGAGGCUAGAGUACGGAAGAGGCGAGUGGAAUUCCUGGUGUAGCGGUGGAAUGCGCAGAUAUCAGGAGGAACACCAAUAGCGAAGGCAGCUCGCUGGGACGUUACUGACACUGAGGCGCGAAAGCGUGGGGAGCGAACAGG